GCUCCCUUAGCUCAGCUGGAUAGAGCAACGGCCUUCUAAGCCGUCGGUCGCAGUUCGAAUCCUGCAGGGGCGCCA
rnacentral:tRNA from 1 species